rnacentral:rRNA from 1 species
UACGGAGGGUGCAAGCGUUAUCCGGAUUUACUGGGUUUAAAGGGUGCGUAGGUGGGUAGGUAAGUCAGUGGUGAAAUCUUCGAGCUUAACUCGGAAACUGCCAUUGAUACUAUUUAUCUUGAAUACUCUGGAGGUAAGCGGAAUAUGUCAUGUAGCGGUGAAAUGCUUAGAUAUGACAUAGAACACCAAUUGCGAAGGCAGCUUACUACAUAGUUAUUGACACUGAGGCACGAAAGCGUGGG